CUUGGUGGUCAGAAGCCCUGGGUGGGAGUCCAGUGUGGGCUCAAUGCCUUAUGUGGAGUGCUUAGGCUGGGUUGCUUUUCGGGCUGACUGAUUUGCUCUGUGUGUGGGACAUCUGGGACGGGACUCGGGGAAGCAGGCAUUGGUAGAGCCCGGAAGAGUAGUAGCUGUGAUUGACUGGUGUGGGUUUCAAGCAGAUGGGAUUUGUUUACAUGACCUUCAAGGUCUGCCCAAGUCUGAUGUUUUAGGGCGAGUGAUCACAGAACCCUCUCUUGGGCUAGUAGGUAUAUUAAGGCUGAGUGUAUGGGUAGAAGUGCUCAUCAUCGCAUUUAAUGGCUCAAGAGACACGACAACUCUGCCAGAUAUGGGUCCUGUGGGCAGAGCUGAGAGCUCUGCAAAUUCCCAUUCACUUUUUAAGUCCUGCUUCAUUAUAGCUUGCCAAGUGUGUCACCAAGAUGAAGAUGAAUUAUAAUGACUACAUUUUGGUAAUUCACUUACUUCGCCGGAGUCAGUGCGCAAUUGUAUUACAGCUGAGACCCAUCUGGUUCCAAUCAGUGGUGAAGGGAGAUCCAUGUCUGGACAGAGGGCUGGGCCUGAGGCUGUGCAGGGAAGCUGCCCGGAGAGCUGCAGCUGAACAAUUACCAGCGGAGAGCGGGGAGUGGGCGUGCAGACCACCAGGUGGGCCUGCUCAGGUCCAAGUCAGCUCACACUCUUCAGCACUCCUACUAUGUGCCAGCCCACCAACCAGAAGUAGGGGAGAAAGAAGGUUAAAAGAAAAGGGGUUUGUGGCCCUGUUUAGAACUAGUUCUUUGAGGGGUGAUUCCACUCCUCAGUGGAAGCAGCCAGAAUCAGCUGGAAUACCAUGAGAAGUUCUUUGGUGCAUUUCUUUCUUCAAAGAGAAGACCAGUAAAGACCAGUGAAGCAUUGCCUGGUCAGCAAAGAUCAGCAAAGACCAGUGAAUACCAGUGAAUACCAGCGAAGACCAGCAAAGACCAGCAAAGACCAGCGAAGACCAGCAAAGACCAGCGAAGGCCAGUGAAGCACAGCAGUGUAAGAGUGUCUUUCAUGGUCUGUGCGUUCUACUUAUGUUCUUUCUAAACAUCACACGUUCUCUCAAGUGUCUGUUUUCAGCAAAACAUCGAUGCCCUCUCACAAGACAGCUUCUAGAAAAACAUCACGUGACACAACUGAGUUUUUAGAGAAACCAGAAACUUCCACUUCAGGUCCUGUUAUCCAUGGGUUCAGCAUUUGUGCAUUCAAUCAAAUUCUGGUCAAAAUUAAUUAAAAAAAUACUGCAUCUUUACUAUGCAAAACAGAGAUAGACUUUCUUCCUUAUUGUUAUUCUCUUAAUAAAUUACAGUAUAGUAAAA